GGAGUGGUGCUCGAGUGGCUGAAGAGGCACGCCUGGAAAGCGUGUGUGCGCCAAAAGCGUACCGCGAGUUCGAAUCUCGCUCACUCCG
rnacentral:tRNA from 1 species